rnacentral:lncRNA from 1 species
CAUAUAGUGGUAACCUAGCAAAAUAGAAAAAAAAUUUCUAGGUGCAAUUAUCGUGUGAUACAGUCCUUUUAUCGUGAGUUCCGACUAGAUGAAGGUCAUGGAGAACUCGUCAAAUCUCAUCGUCAGUCAUAUGCCAGAUUGGCUUGACUCAAGUUCAUCUGUGAAUCUCAUAAAUUUUUUUUUUUCAGUAUUCACACUUACUCUGGUC